rnacentral:lncRNA from 1 species
UUCCCGACUGUGUUUUAAUCGACCAAGCCAUAUUCCUUCAGUUUUUGUUUUAUUCAAUUUCAAACCUGAGAGAGUACCAAAUAUUUCUAUUAAAUUAAUUGCUAGAGAUACAUCUUUUUUUGAUUGAAGAAAUAGAGUAGUAUCGUCAGCUAAUUGGCAGAUUUUCAGGGUAUUACUCUUACCGUCUAAUUUUAUUUCUAGUCCUUUUAAGUUUUUAUUUUCCCUUAUCUUUAUUGCCAUAACUUCUACAGCUAGAACAAAUAGUAACGAUGAUAACGGACAUCCUUGUCGGAUCCCGCGAGAGCGCCCAAAACGGGAGGAAACCCAUCCAUUAUUAAUAAUGCAUCCUUUAAUAUCAGAGUACAUUGUCUGAACCCACCUUAUAAAAUUAUCUUUAAAUCCAAAUUUUUUUAAAGUCUCAAACAUGAAGUCCCAUUCUAAUGAGUCAAAUGCUUUUGUAAAAUCAAGAAAUAAAAUUGCCC